rnacentral:tRNA from 1 species
UCCAUUGUCGUUUAGUUGGUCAGGAUACUCGACUCUCACCUGAAAUACCCGUGUUCAAAUCCCGGCAACGGAA